rnacentral:tmRNA from 2 species
GGGGCUGAUUCUGGAUUCGACGGGAUUUGCGAAACCCAAGGUGCAUGCCGAGGGGCGGUUGGCCUCGUAAAAAGCCGCAAAAAAAUAGUCGCAAACGACGAAACCUACGCUUUAGCAGCUUAAUAACCUGCUUAGAGCCCUCUCUCCCUAGCCUCCGCUCUUAGGACGGGGAUCAAGAGAGGUCAAACCCAAAAGAGAUCGCGCGGAUGCCCUGCCUGGGGUUGAAGCGUUAAAACGAAUCAGGCUAGUCUGGUAGUGGCGUGUCCGUCCGCAGGUGCCAGGCGAAUGUAAAGACUGACUAAGCAUGUAGUACCGAGGAUGUAGGAAUUUCGGACGCGGGUUCAA